AUACGUAGGUGGCAAGCGUUGUCCGGAUUUAUUGGGCGUAAAGCGAGCGCAGGCGGUUUCUUAAGUCUGAUGUGAAAGCCCCCGGCUCAACCGGGGAGGGUCAUUGGAAACUGGGAGACUUGAGUGCAGAAGAGGAGAGUGGAAUUCCAUGUGUAGCGGUGAAAUGCGUAGAUAUAUGGAGGAACACCAGUGGCGAAGGCGACUCUCUGGUCUGUAACUGACGCUGAGGCUCGAAAGCGUGGGGAGCAAACAGGAUUAGAUACCCUGGUAGUCCACGCCGUAAGCGAUGAGUGCUAAGUGUUGGAGGGUUUCCGCCCUUCAGUGCUGCAGCUAACGCAUUAAGCACUCCGCCUGGGGAGUACGACCGCAAGGUUGAAACUUAAAGGAAUUGACGGGG
rnacentral:rRNA from 1 species